rnacentral:misc_RNA from 1 species
GGCGGAGCAGGAGUAGGAGGAGGAGAAGGAGGAGGAGUAGGAGGAGGAGAAGGAGGAGGAGGAGGAGGGGAGGCGUGAGCGAGCCAAAAGUGAUCAAAGGCAAGCUUAGCGACGUCAUUUUGGGCGCGUUUAGAAGAUUUGGUCGGAGAUUGGGAAUGGAAGGAAAGGCCAUUAACGGUGACGGUAGCCUGAAAGCAGGGAUUGUGAUCGGGUCCUUCUUUUGUGGUGACAUAGUCAGGCAGGUCCCAUGCUCUCAGUUGGCACAGCUCCUGCAGCUUCGAUUUAUACAUUUUCGAGCUCCUUUCUUUCUGGGCUUCUUUGUUUGUUU